rnacentral:rRNA from 1 species
UGGGGAAUAUUGGACAAUGGGCGCAAGCCUGAUCCAGCAAUGCCGCGUGUGUGAAGAAGGCCUUCGGGUUGUAAAGCACUUUUAUCAGGAGCGAAAUACCACGGGUUAAUACCCUAUGGGGCUGACGGUACCUGAGGAAUAAGCACCGGCUAACUUCGUGCCAGCAGCCGCGGUAAUACGAAGGGUGCAAGCGUUAAUCGGAAUUACUGGGCGUAAAGCGUGCGUAGGUGGUGAUUUAAGUCUGCUGUGAAAUCCCCGGGCUCAACCUGGGAAUGGCAGUGGAUACUGGAUCGCUAGAGUGUGAUAGAGGAUGGUGGAAUUCCCGGUGUAGCGGUGAAAUGCGUAGAGAUCUGGAGGAACAUCAGUGGCGAAGGCGGCCAUCUGGAUCAACACUGACACUGAGGCACGAAAGCGUGGGGAGCAAACAGG